rnacentral:rRNA from 1 species
AUUGAACGCUGGCGGAAUGCUUUACACAUGCAAGUCGAACGGUAGAGGGGGCAACCCCUUGAGAGUGGCGAACGGGUGAGUAAUAUAUCGGAACGUGCCCAGUCGUGGGGGAUAACGUAGCGAAAGUUACGCUAAUACCGCAUACGAUCUAAGGAUGAAAGCGGGGGAUCGCAAGACCUCGCGCGAUUGGAGCGGCCGAUAUCAGAUUAGGUAGUUGGUGAGGUAAAGGCUCACCAAGCCAACGAUCUGUAGCUGGUCUGAGAGGACGACCAGCCACACUGGAACUGAGACACGGUCCAGACUCCUACGGGAGGCAGCAGUGGGGAAUUUUGGACAAUGGACGCAAGUCUGAUCCAGCCAUUCCGCGUGCAGGAUGAAGGGCCCUCGGGUUGUAAACUGCUUUUGUACGGAACGAAAAGGUUUGUCUUAAUACGAUGAGCUCAUGACGGUACCGUAAGAAUAAGCACCGGCUAACUACGUG